AAAGCGUGCGCAGGCGGCUUUGCAAGACAGAUGUGAAAUCCCCGGGCUCAACCUGGGAACUGCAUUUGUGACUGCAAGGCUAGAGUACGGCAGAGGGGGAUGGAAUUCCGCGUGUAGCAGUGAAAUGCGUAGAUAUGCGGAGGAACACCAAUGGCGAAGGCAAUCCCCUGGGCCUGUACUGACGCUCAUGCACGAAAGCGUGGGGAGCAAACAGGAUUAGAUACCCGAGU
rnacentral:rRNA from 1 species